rnacentral:rRNA from 1 species
AGAGUUUGAUCAUGGCUCAGAACGAACGCUGGCGGCAUGCCUAACACAUGCAAGUCGAACGAGGGCCCCGCUUCGGUGGGACCCUAGUGGCGCACGGGUGAGUAACGCGUGAGACCUGCCCUGUGGUACGGAAUAACUCCGGGAAACUGGAGCUAAUACCGUAUGUGUCCUGUGGGACAAAGAUUUAUCGCCAUGGGAUGGGCCCGCGUAGGAUUAGCUUGUUGGUGGGGUAACGGCCUACCAAGGCAACGAUCCUUAGCUGGUCUGAGAGGAUGAUCAGCCACACUGGGACUGAGACACGGCCCAGACUCCUACGGGAGGCAGCAGUGGGGAAUAUUGGACAAUGGGCGCAAGCCUGAUCCAGCAAUGCCGCGUGAGUGAUGAAGGCCUUCGGGUUGUAAAGCUCUUUCGCACGCGACGAUGAUGACGGUAGCGUGAGAAGAAGCCCCGGCUAACUUCGUGCCAGCAGCCGCGGUAAUACGAAGGGGGCUAGCGUUGUUCGGAAUUACUGGGCGUAAAGGGCGCGUAGGCGGUACUUCAAGUCAGGCGUGAAAGCCCCGGGCUCAACCUGGGAACCGCGCUUGAGACUGGAGAACUAGAGUUCGGGAGAGGAUGGUGGAAUUCCCAGUGUAGAGGUGAAAUUCGUAGAUAUUGGGAAGAACACCGAUGGCGAAGGCAGCCAUCUGGACCGACACUGACGCUGAGGCGCGAAAGCGUGGGGAGCAAACAGGAUUAGAUACCCUAGUAGUCC